rnacentral:rRNA from 1 species
UACGUAGGGUGCAAGCGUUGUCCGGAAUUAUUGGGCGUAAAGAGCUCGUAGGCGGUUUGUUGCGUCGGCUGUGAAAUCCCGAGGCUCAACCUCGGGUCUGCAGUCGGUACGAGCAAACUAGAGUGUUGCAGGGGAGACUGGAAUUCCUGGUGUAGCGGUGAAAUGCGUAGAUAUCAGGAGGAACACCGGUGGUGUAGACGGCUCACUGGACCAUAACUGACGCUGAGACACGAAAGCGUGGGUAGCAAACAGG